CUCUCAUCCCUGUGUCUUGCUCUCCCUGCUCACCUGUCUGCACUCAGCUGAUUACUACAGGUGACUCACAUUGCAGUAAUCAGCUCACCUGCCUACAAUAUCACCUGUUCACUAUUUAAACCUUGCUCAUUGUCUCAGUCCCUGUCGGAUCGUAGAUACUGUUCCCCACCAAGCCUGCCACCUCCGGACUGCUUCAGCCCCAUGGACUCUGCUGCUUCCCCCUCCUGGAUUUCCCCUCCGCUUGGACUCUGUUGUGUUCCUGUUUGUCUGUUCAUGGAUUUUCCCCAGCCUGUUUUCCCCUCAGUUGUCAGUUUCCCCAUAUUGUGGUGGGUGGGGGUGCAGCUGUGGCCAGAUGUUUCCAAUCCAGUCAGAUGGAACUGGUGUGCCGGCAGGUGGGGGUGAUAAGGAUUUCCACCUCUACUCCCAUAGAAGCAGACUCUGUUCAUCACUUGUCACCAGACAGUCUUAAAGCCACAGUCAGUAUAAACCCACUGUCCUGUUCUAUUUUGUUUUGUUCUGUUCCUCUGCUCUGGCUCCUACUAACCUCUCUCUAGUGCUUUUGCCCUGUUAUCUGGAUUCCUGCCUGCUUGCACUACCCCUGAUUCUCCUGUCACCUAACCCUGAUCAGCUCAUUCUGUACCCUGGUUCCUCCACUCCUGCCACCCUCGUCUGUCUGGACCCCUUUCCAUUUUGGAUUGAGGCCUGGUUGUAGCACCUGCCCACCACCACCCAAACGCCACCUUACCCCUGCCACCCUCCUAUGGACCUCCCCCUCUGCGGUUGCCAUCCGCUAAGUUCCUGUUCAAUCUCGGUGCCAGACCUGUUGUUAGCGUAGAGUUGCCCCUGGUUAAUUCUAGCCUUGCUGAACUGUUAUUUAUACUGCGUUUGGUUACUUCAGGGUGUGUUCAGUCUCUGCCAUCCUGCCUGAGUUUUACCUUACAUGGGUUAGUGAGGUUCAUUCUGUUAGUUAUAAGUACUCUGGUUGUUGGUAUCUGCCGGACCACUAGAGGACUAUUGGUUCUUCGUACUCGUAGCUACUUCCUUUUCAUUUGUAGUUCUUUAAUGGAACUUGUAGUUUUGUUUGUUCUGCCUUGCAUUGUAAGUUGUUUAUAAUUGUCUAUGCCUGUUGUCGUGUCUCUUGCAUGUACUUGAGCCUCUGAUUAAGGGAUCCGUAACAUAUACAUAAAAUAUUUAUUUUCUUUGCUUUGAUUGUAUUAAUUACAACUUAUAGAGAGCUUGAUUGUGUUUCUGUAGGACUCAGUUCCUGUUUUAUUUAGUCAUUGUUGUAUUGUUUUAAUUUCCUUCAACUCAUUUUGUUCUGUAAAGUACCUUGUGUUGGAUUUCAUUUGUAUCAAACAUUGUAAACAAACAAAGCCUAAAAACUGGAACUAAACUGAUUAUACCUGGACUUUCCAAUCAGCCUUAUUGUGUGAACAUAGUUACGAAUAGCAGAACUUUCUGAAGUUUGACCCAAUGGACUGAGUCCAUCUGCAUGUCUGCAUCAUGGCUUCACAUGGAAAAGAAUUACCAGAUAACGGGAACAAUAAAAUCUGACUUUGA
ensembl:lncRNA